GCCUAGUACUGCACAUUCUUCUGUUCAAAAUUCAUCUCAAGAGUAACUUGACAGAGUUUUGCUUAUACAAGUUGCUGUACCACAGGAGACAUACUUAUUUGGAGACAGGCUGCAUCCGCUGUCUGUUGUGACUGAGUAAAGUAAAAAGACAAACUUGUACAGGCUGCAAAACAUCAAGGAGCAACAUAGAAGACUUAAUCGCAAUAAAAAAUGUGAAGAAAGAUGGACAAACCUGUUUUUAGCUUGGCUUUACUACCAUCAACACUAAUGACUUCAAGCAGCAGGUGCUUCUACCUCCUGUUACAGGAGUGGGCGAUAGAGCAGAUGGACAAAGCUGAGGCUGAAGCUUUAUUGAAAAGAUCUCACUGUAGGCCAGCCCUGAUGUGACUGCAAAUGACAACGUGGCCCUCUGUUCUGAUCCCAGUGUUUCCCUUUUUGUUCCCAACCAUGUGAGAGGGAAAAACCCAGCCUUCACUUCCUGUGACAGAUCAGCACCAAGAGCACCAGAGUGUGGAGAUGAACACCCAUACCAUUACAUUUCUGAGGCUGUUUAGGUUCUUGAAAAGCUGCAGUCGGUACUGUGCAAGCAUUCAGUUUCCAGCUGAUAUCCUGCACUUCAGAGAUUGUAAUGGAUCCACUAAAAAUGAUAGAUCAGAGCAAAAAAGUAGUGUCUGGUGCACAGUUUGUAUCUGAUAAAAUUUGGGAAGAGGAAAACAAAAUGCAAGACUUUCAGUAAAAUGGUAGAAAGAGUAAAAAUUAAGCAUUUUAUAAGCAUGUAGGGGAACAGAAAUUCAAAGAUUGGUGUGAAGGGCUGCAGGAGCAAAGAAGCAAGGAGGAUACUUUAGAGGUAGGAGAGGGGGAGUAUCUUAUUUCAGGCAUCUGUCUAGAAAGUGAUCAGCAGAUGGAAGGUUCACAACAUCUGGCAUUUAAAGAAAAAGUCAAUAUUUAACAGGAUUUCCUCUGCCUUUCAAAAUAUUGAUUUUUGAAAAUAAACAGCCUUUAAAGAGCACAUACAUACAUAAGAAAAACCCUCAAAAGCAAGCUAGCUACAGUGCUGGGUCUUGGCACAGCACACAGCUGUCUCUAAUGUGGCUACCACCUGCCCCAAGGGUAGAUUUAAACCUUAAAGACUAGAAAUUGAGAAACAGUUGUCCUCAGAUGAUAUGACUUCCAUGAUUCAGUCUAACCCUUAAAGUCCAUCUGUAAUUCCCAUGGGCCAUGGCCAGAAUAUGUGUUACAUGCAUCAGAAAAUCCAGUAUGGGGCUUGUCUGUCAGGGCUACAAGCAGAAAGCAGACUCUCACAUUCUCCACUUUGGAUUUUAACACAGCUAAAAUGAGCAGGAUGUCCUGCAUUUGCCUGCACCCACUACAAACACAUCAUGCCUCCUGCUCCUGUCACAAGCAACAGGGCAGAAAUGGGGCACAUGCUGCUCCUACUCUACUCUGUAGCACUCAUGGGCCUGUGUUUCCUGCCUUUCCCGGGUCAGGCAGAAAGGAACAAAACUGCAAAAAGCUGUUUUGCUAAAAAAGGCCCAUGUAGUGUGGUCCAUAGCUCACUUGUGCUUACAAGAGCUCUCUAGGCUGGGUUGGUUGUUCUCCUGAAACUAUCAUGUAUUUAGAUACAUAAAAAUAUUUAUCAGAUCAGGGACCAGAAAAAAAAAGAAUCCCAGCAGGGUUAUCAUUUAUCUAUUCUUAUAGUCAUUACAUGUUUCUACACAUACAUGUUUGUCUGAUCUCAAUGAUUCUGUAAUAUAGAGAGAUAUCUUAGAAAAAAAGUUGCACUCUUUUAACAGAAUACAAUAAUGAAUCUGAUCUCUCCAGUUUCCAAACAAGACAAAAUCGCCAUCCACUCAAGCCUGUUAAAUCAGUUAUGACUAUGACCAGAACUGACACUUUAUUCCUAAAAACAAGGUUCUAAUGAUCUAUGCUGUUAUCUCAGAAAUUAAUCAUAAAUACCUUUUCAAACAGAGUAACGACAUUUUAGUUCUAUUCUUUUUCCAUAGCAACUUCUAAAUCAAGUGCUGCUUCCACAAGUCAUGUCAGUGUGGCCAAAACCACCAUAUGUGGAUUA